CCCAACUAAUCCCUCGGGAUUGCGGGUUGCGGGGGGCGGACGAUGGCCUCCCGUGCGCUCCGUCGCGCGGUUGGCAUAAAUACCAAGUCCUCGGCGACGCGCGCCACGACAAUCGGUGGUUGCGAAACCUCGGUUGCCCGUCGUGUGCGGUCGUCGCGCAUCGAGGGCUCG
rnacentral:misc_RNA from 1 species